rnacentral:rRNA from 1 species
GGGCAAAGGAAUCCAAGGGGCUUCGGUCUUAAUUUCGGCUGUGCGCUCAGGCUGCACGCCGAUAACCUCUCACACCUGUGCACCUUUUCGGUUGCGGUUUCGGCCGCUUCCGCUUUUACAUGCAACCACGAAAAGUCUAGAAUGUGACGAGAACUAUAAAGUAACAACUUUCAACAACGGAUCUCUUGGCUCUCGCAUCGAUGAAGAACGCAGCGAAAUGCGAUAAGUAAUGUGAAUUGCAGAAUUCAGUGAAUCAUCGAAUCUUUGAACGCACCUUGCGCUCCUUGGUAUUCCAUGGAGCAUGCCUGUUUGAGUGUCACGUAAACCCUCACCCCUGCGAUGUAACAGUCGCCUGCGGUGGACUUGGACCGUGCCGGUAAUCGGCUCGUCUUGAAAUGCAUUAGCUGGCGCUUUUAGAGUGCUGGGCGAACGGUGUGAUAAUUAUCUGCGCCGACUGCCCUGGGCCUCUUCAGCGGCGCUGCUUACAGCCGUCCCUCGUGGACAACUAUUUUAAAGCUUUGGCCUCAAAUCAGGUAGGACUACCCGCUGAACUUAAGCAUAUCAAUAAGCGGAGGAAA